rnacentral:rRNA from 1 species
AUUGAACGCUGGCGGCAGGCCUAACACAUGCAAGUCGAGCGGAUGAAGGGAGCUUGCUCCUGGAUUCAGCGGCGGACGGGUGAGUAAUGCCUAGGAAUCUGCCUGGAAGUGGGGGAUAACGUCCGGAAACGGGCGCUAAUACCGCAUCCGUCCUGAGGGCGAAAGUGGGGGGUCUUCGGACCUCACGCUAUCAGAUGAGCCUAGGUCGGAUUCGUUAGUUGGUGGGGUAAAGGCUUACCAAGGCGACGAUCCGUAACUGGUCUGAGAGGAAGAUCAGUCACAUGGGAACUGAGACACAGUCGAGACUCCUGCGGGAGGCAGCGGUGGGGAAUAUUGGGCGAGGGGGGAAAGCCUGAUCCAGGCAUGCCGCGUGUGUGAAGAAGGUCUUCGGAUUGGAGAGCGCUGUAGGUUGGGGGGAAGGACAGUAAGUUAAUACCGUGCUGUUUUGACAUUACCGGCAGAAUAAGCACCGGCUAACUUCGUG